AUUGAACGCUGGCGGCAGGCCUAACACAUGCAAGUCGAACGAGUGGCGGACGGGUGAGUAAUGUCUGGGCACCUGCCUGAUGGAGGGGGAUAACUACUGGAAACGGUAGCUAAUACCGCAUACCAUCGGAUGUGCCCAGAUGGGAUUAGCUUGUUGGUGGGGUAACGGAUCACCAAGGCGACGCUCCCUAGCUGGUCUGCUAGGAUGACCAGCCACACUGGAACUGAGACACGGUCCAGACUCCUACGGGAGGCAGCAGUGGGGAAUAUUGAACAAUGGGCGAAAGCCUGAUGCAGCCAUGCCGCGUGGAUGAAGAAGGCCUUCGGGUUGUAAAGUACUUUCAGCGGGGAGGCGUUACCCGCAGAAGAAGCAACGGCUAACUCCGUGCCAGCCGCCGCGGUAAUUC
rnacentral:rRNA from 1 species